rnacentral:tRNA from 1 species
GGGAGUGGAGAGGUACCUGGUGGGCCUCCUGGACUUCAAAUCCAGUGCGGUGCGUAAACAGCGCUCCGGGUGGGUUCGAUUCCCAUGCACUCCCGCCA